rnacentral:rRNA from 1 species
AUUGAACGCUGGCGGCAGGCCUAACACAUGCAAGUCGAGCGGAUGAAGGGAGCUUGCUCCUGGAUUCAGCGGCGGACGGGUGAGUAAUGCCUAGGAAUCUGCCUGGUAGUGGGGGAUAACGUCCGGAAACGGGCGCUAAUACCGCAUACGUCCUGAGGGAGAAAGUGGGGGAUCUUCGGACCUCACGCUAUCAGAUGAGCCUAGGUCGGAUUAGCUAGUUGGUGGGGUAAAGGCCUACCAAGGCGACGAUCCGUAACUGGUCUGAGAGGAUGAUCAGUCACACUGGAACUGAGACACGGUCCAGACUCCUACGGGAGGCAGCAGUGGGGAAUAUUGGACAAUGGGCGAAAGCCUGAUCCAGCCAUGCCGCGUGUGUGAAGAAGGUCUUCGGGUUGUAAAGCACUUUAAGUUGGGAGGAAGGGCAGUAAGUUAAUACCCUGCUGUUUUGACGUUACCAACAGAAUAAGCACCGGCUAACUUCGUG